CGUAAGAAUGUCUUCCCUACGCGCGACUGCUGAGGAGUUCAGAGAUGUAACACAGAUCUCAUUUGAAUCUCUGAUCUCCAGGUGCAGACGCUGAAUAGUCUGUGCCAGAGCCGCAGCAGCAUGUUUCCUUUCCAGCAGAUUUUCCUUGGACGAUUCUCAAACCGAGUCUCGUGGUUUUGUUUACACUGAAUAGGGAAUAUAGGAGCGGUGCCAUGGGGCCUUCUUUCAUUAAUAUACAGUGAGGAUUUUGUCUAAAUUACUGCUACGAAUUUCACAGCACACGCAUUUAAAGGCGUUUCAGGUGGACUGAUGAAACGUGAAUGCGCCGGCGAAAAAAAAACGAAAUUUCUCUCCAUUAAAACCCUUAAAAGCCAAUUAUUAUGACCGAUAGAUACCUAAACUAUAUUAUGUCUUAAAAAAUAAACAUCUUCAAUAGCUUGUUUCCCCACCAAGAAAAAAAAAGUAAAACAUCAGAGAGCAAUUUGUACUGAUUUACAUUUGCAUAAAUUUUCAUAUAUUUUGGUGAAAAUAAUAGUGAGUGCCGGGCUCAGUGGUGCCAGUACAGGGGUACAUCUUAGAGAAGAUCGACGGGGAACAAUCCGGAGCGAGGGUUAAAAAGUAAAGCAAAUAUUCCAAAUAUACCAAACUUUUCAACACUCUUUAUGGUUUGAAUAGCGAACAUGCCAUUGGUACUCCAAGUUCAAAUUGUUUCAGUCACACUGUGUGAAUCAGCAAAGAAGGAACUAAUCAGUGAUCCUUGUGACUGGUGGAUCAUAUACCUUGACAGAAAGCCAUCACUACAGGAUUUGUGUUUAUGAAACUAUCCUGCUAAAUGGGAUCACAAAUCUAAGGAGAACAAUCAAGCAAAGGCAGCCAAAGGUUCAAGAUGGAUUAAGACCCAAUUCUUUCACCAUUUUCCUAACUUCACUCAAUGUUAAGAUGGAAGUUUUGAUGCCACAUUUCAGCUCCAACACAAAGUCCUUUAAAGAAAUGGUGGACUCAGGAGACAAGUACCAGAAUGGACAGCAAGCAGGCUACAAAGCAGGAAAAUUAGAGGCAUUAGUGGAAGCCAGAGAACCUCAGCUAAGAAGAGGCCAGCACCAGACAUCUUUAGCUUCACCUCCAUCCUCAGAGGAUGUAUAGGCAUUAUGCAUCCUCAGUGAGUUCAGUUUGCAGAUCAAAUGUGAAAGCAUAUACUGUUCAACAUGUCAAUGAUACAACUCUGCAGCUGAUUGAGACAGAAAUGCCCAGGGAAGAAGAUAAUCCCAUAGUCUAUGCCAUUAAUGACUUUGCAUGCACAGAUACAGGAAUAUCAGGUAGGUUUGUCAAAUGCACUUGGUAAGCUGGAUCGAAGGAUGAAGAAGUCUAAGAACAUUAUCAUAUUGUUCUGAAUAAGGGUCACCGGAACCAAACCAUUAACUUUGAUUUCUCUUCACAGAUCCUGCCAGAUCUGCUAAGCUUUUCCAGCAACUUCUGUUUUUAUUAUUAAUAUUGUGCUGGCCUUAGCCCUGUAGUCUGCCAUCCUAGCCAAAGGUGCUCCCAGCAUCAAUGGCAAGAUGAAAGAAGCUGAGGAGCCUUGAUCUCACUUCAGCUGCCCCUUCCC